UCCUUAAAUCACCGAAGUCAAGCAUCAUUGGGCGCGGUCAGUACUUGGGUGGGUGACCACCUGGGAACACCGCGUGCCGUU
rnacentral:rRNA from 1 species